GGAGGGAUGGCAGAGUGGUCGAUUGCGGCGGUCUUGAAAACCGCUAGGCGAGAGCCUCGUGGGUUCGAAUCCCACUCCCUCCG
rnacentral:tRNA from 1 species